ACUUGUGUGCAUUUUGAAUGGAGGGAAAUCUCCAGUGUGGUCCAGCUGUGGUUUUUCUCACACCGACAGAAUCCGGUUGAUGCUGGCAACAGUUCACACUGUAUUUAUAAUUCGAUGUCACUGACGUUUGAGGCCGAGGUUUGCAGCAGAGCCAUGAAACAUUUUAGGAGCAGCUGGUCUAAGUGGCUUAAUAGGGUCCGGGGGUUAGAGAGCUGGGGUCAGACGUCCGUCGCCUUACGAUCCCCACUGUUUGUCCAGGCUGGUUGUGUUUGGAGCACAUGGCAUCACUCCACACGUCUUCUCUCAGUACUCCUGUUCUACGUGUCAGCUCGUGUAUUCAUCCACGUAAGAGGAGGAUUAAGCCGCUUCCUUACAUGACUUUACUGUAUUUAGCCAACAAGAUUGUGUGCGUUCAUUAGGAACAACAAUUGUCAAAAUGUGUUGGAAAAUGUGUAAUUGUUGCUAUGCAGAGUAGUACAUGGUAGGACGUGUCAUGACGUUAUCCAGUG
ensembl:lncRNA